rnacentral:snRNA from 1 species
AGCUGUGCACAGUGGCAGUAUCGUAGCCAAUGAGGUUUAUCCCAGACAUGAUUAUUGCUGAUUGAAAAAUUUUACCCCGCCAUGAUGACUUGAAAUAUAGUUGGCAUUGGCAAUUUUUGACAGUCUCUACAGAGA